UCAAAGUUUCGCCCGUCAUGUCCCGAAUCAUGUCACAGCGACGUGCAAAUUGCCGACGGAAAGUUCGCAAAUCGAGUUACAUCAUCGACAACGAACUUCCCCGCGAAGUUAUUUAGUUCGCGUGGCGAUGGAAAUUACGCACGCGGGGGGCAUCUGGCCGCAUCGGGGCGACGGACAUGUGGAACAUAAGUUUGACGGCGCGCCGAAGAAGCCGUCCCAAAAUGCGAUGCACACACACGAAAAACACCGUGGGAAUGUUGCCACCGCUAUAAAUAAAUCGUGUUGUGUUUUUAUUUAAACCUAGGUCAUGAUCAAAAGUCAACGGAUCUGUCGUAAUUCAGUCGAGAAACGUUGCAUCGAAAAAUAGAUGUGUAGAAAUUCCCGGACGACGAAAAUGGACACAAUUAAAUUCCCAACUACGUCAAGACGUUCUUCGGUGGAUAAGAGACGGAAUUCCAUUGCUCCGAACUCCUUCAAGUUUUUCAUUUAUUAUUGGGGUUCGCCACGAAGCAUUUAACCCAAUUAAAUUUGUAAUUAUUUGACUAGAAAUUAACGUCACGCUAUUUACCAAUAAUGUGCCUUUUUCCUCGUGUUUUUUAUCGAAUGCAGUGAAAUAAACACGUUGAAUAAACGUA